AGUGAACGCUGGCGGUAGGCCUAACACAUGCAAGUCGAACGGCAGCACAGUAAGAGCUUGCUCUUACGGGUGGCGAGUGGCGGACGGGUGAGGAAUACAUCGGAAUCUACUUUUUCGUGGGGGAUAACGUAGGGACACUUACGCUAAUACCGCAUACGACCUACGGGUGAAAGCAGGGGAUCUUCGGACCUUGCGCGAUUGAAUGAGCCGAUGUCGGAUUAGCUAGUUGGCGGGGUAAAGGCCCACCAAGGCGACGAUCCGUAGCUGGUCUGAGAGGAUGAUCAGCCACACUGGAACUGAGACACGGUCCAGACUCCUACGGGAGGCAGCAGUGGGGAAUAUUGGACAAUGGGCGCAAGCCUGAUCCAGCCAUACCGCGUGGGUGAAGAAGGCCUUCGGGUUGUAAAGCCCUUUUGGUGGGAAAGAAGAGCAGCAGGUUAAUACCCCGCUGUUCUGACGGUACCCAAAGAAUAAGCACCGGCUAACUUCGUG
rnacentral:rRNA from 1 species